UACGAAGGGGUGCAAGCGUUACUCGGAAUUACUGGGCGUAAAGCGUGCGUAGGCGGUUUGUUAAGUCCGCUGUGAAAGCCCUGGGCUCAACCUGGGAAUUGCAGUGGAUACUGGCAAGCUAGAGUGCGGUAGAGGAUGGUGGAAUUCCCGGUGUAGCGGUGAAAUGCGUAGAGAUCGGGAGGAACACCUGUGGCGAAGGCGGCCGACUGGGCCGACCCUGACGCUGAGGCGCGAAGGCGUGGGGAGCGAACGGG
rnacentral:rRNA from 1 species